rnacentral:rRNA from 1 species
UGGGGUGACUUGUCUGGUUAAUUUCGAUAACGAACGAGAUCCGAGCCGUUUCGUUGUAUAUCAUAAGAGUUAUUUUGUGAUGUAUAUCAAAAUGGACCAUCUGCUCAAGCAGAAGGAAGUGACGGGCUAAAUCAGGUCUGUGAUGCCCUUCGAUACUCUGGGCGGCACGCGCGCUACAAUGGACAGCGUAAAGUGUCACUCUGUUGAAAAACAGGGUGGAUCACUGAAACUGUGUCUUGAUUGGGAUAGUCUUUUGCAAUUUUCAGACUUGAACUAGGAAUCCCUUGUAGGUGCAGUAAAGAAUACUGCUCCGAAUACGUCCCUGCCGUUUGUACACCCCGCCCGUCGUUUCUUCCGACUGGUUCUCAUUGUGAAUGACGAGGACAGUUUCGACUGAAUUCGUUGUGAAUGCUGCGUAUUGGAGGAAGAAAAAGUCGUAAC